rnacentral:snoRNA from 1 species
AGGCCAUGAUAGGGACACUUGCGUAAUAGCUCCUUGAACCUUUCCCAUGUUUCAUAUAAGGAUUCCCCGUCCUCUUGUGAGUAUGUAUUAAUUUCAGCCAUUAAUUU